GAUGAACGCUGGCGGCGCGCCUAACACAUGCAAGUCGAACGAUUAAAGCACCUUCGGGUGUGUAUAAAGUGGCGAACGGCUGAGUAACACGUUGGCAACCUGCCCCUUUCAUUGGGAUAGCCACGGUAAACCGUGGAUAAUACCGAAUACUUCGAGACUCCCGCAUGGAAGAAUCGAGAAAGCUCCGGCGGAGGGGGAUGGGCCCGCGGCCUGCUAGCUUGUUGGUGGGGUAACGGCCUACCAAGGCAAUGAUGGGUAGCUGGGUUGGGAGUUGGACCAGCCAGCUUGGGGCUGAGAGGCGGCCCAGACUUCAACGGGGAGGAGCAAGCGGGAAUCUGUCAGAGUGGACAGAAGCCUAAUGCAGCGACGCCGCGUGCGGGAUGAAGGCCUACGGGUUAUAGACAGGUUUCAACAGGGACGGGGCGAAAGUGGCGGUACCUGCAGAAGAAGGGCCGGCUAACUACGUG
rnacentral:rRNA from 1 species